AUGGGACAUGAUUCGAGGAUGCAAUUUUCUAAUCCACUAUUUUCUUUAAUGACAAGGACAGUUGAGCUUAGGCUCUUUAUUGUGGGUAGCUUGACGUUGUUGAGGUACCUAACUCUAGAAGUGAGUACUCUUUUCCUUGUGCGCUUGCUUGAUGAAUUGAAUAGAUACAAAAAAAUUUGGCGACUGCUCCAAAUGAUGGUACUUGAUAUUUAUGCAGCUUUAAGCUUUUUUUUUGUGCUUGUUGAUAGUAGGUUUUUGUGCAAUUUCAAUGUUUAUUUUCUUCUGCUUGAUGAUAGCAAGGCUGAGUAG
rnacentral:rRNA from 1 species